AGGGGGAGCGCCGGAUAUUGGGCUGUUUCCGGCACCCUGUGCCCCCGGGCCUGCACUGUUGGAAUCGCCUCCUGGUCGCCUCGCUCCCU
rnacentral:pre_miRNA from 1 species